UACGAAGGGGGCUAGCGUUGUUCGGAAUCACUGGGCGUAAAGCGCACGUAGGCGGGUUCUUAAGUCAGGGGUGAAAUCCCGAGGCUCAACCUCGGAACUGCCUUUGAUACUGGGUAUCUUGAGUAUGGAAGAGGUAAGUGGAAUUGCGAGUGUAGAGGUGAAAUUCGUAGAUAUUCGCAGGAACACCAGUGGCGAAGGCGGCUUACUGGUCCAUAACUGACGCUGAGGUGCGAAAGCGUGGGGAGCAAACAGG
rnacentral:rRNA from 1 species